rnacentral:lncRNA from 1 species
UGUAAAAGAUAAAUCUUAUUCUAUCUGUUCUUCAUGAGUUUUAGAUAAUUUUAGUUGUAUUUCUUUGUAAUUUUGUGUUGUACAAAGAUUAAUUUAACAUUUUCUAUGGAAGUAUUAAUUUAGAAAGAUAAUAUGCUUCAUUGGUGUUGUGCUUUGAAGUGUGAAAUGCAAAGUAAUUGUGAUAGAAGUCAAGAUAAAGUUCACUUUUAAACUGAACUAAAUAAGGUAUCUGAGAGACAACAAUGGUUAAAUGCAAUAAAAUGUACAGGUUUUACUAGCGAAAUGAAAAUUUUCCUGUCCUGUCUGCUGUAAUCAUUUUAUAUCUGGAAAACCAGCCGACUUAAUAGAUAAUAACAAUCUCCAGAUUGGGUUCCUUCAA